rnacentral:ncRNA from 1 species
CCCCAAAAACAAAAAGUUUUGGUCCUAAACUUACCAUUGUUUCUAAUCAAGAUUACACAUGCAAGCCUCCACACACCAGUGAGAAUGCCCACAAACCCUAAACAGUUAUCCGGAGCAGGUAUCAGGAUCAAUACUUUAGCCUAAAACACCUUGCUACGCCACACCCCCACGGGCCCUCAGCAGUGAUUAACAUUAAGACAUGAGCGAAAGCUUGACUUGGCUACGAUUAAAAUAGUCGGUAAAUUUCGUGCCAGCCACCGCGGUUAUACGAAAGACUUAAAACAAUGACCAUCGGCGUAAAACGUGACUAGAGAAAUUACCAAGGACUUAAAGAAAAACUACCAUAAAGCCGUAAAACGCUACCAUGAAUAGGAACCCCAUCAAUAAACAGCCUUUAAGCAAAAGGCCACUUCACCUCACGAAAGCUAAGAAACAAACUGGGAUUAGAUACCCCACUAUGCUUAGCCCUAAACAUAGACAAUACAAACACAAUAUUGUCCGCCAGAGAACUACAAGCGAAAAACUAGAAACUCCAAGGACUUGGCGGUGCUCCACACCAACCUAGAGGAGCCUGUCCUAUAAUCGAUACCCCACGUUAAACCUUACCACCUUUUGCCCCUCAGCCUAUAUACCGCCGUCGUCAGCCUACCUUAUGAAAGAGAAAUAGUAAGCAAAACAGUUAACAACUAACACGUCAGGUCAAGGUGUAGCAUAUAAGAUGGAAGAGAUGGGCUACAUUUUCUACCAUAGAACACACGAAUGACACAAUGAAACACGUACCUGAAGGUGGAUUUAGUAGUAAGAUAAACAAGCAACAUUAUCUUAAACCCGCUCUGGAGCGCGCACACACCGCCCGUCACCCUCAUCACUAUAACACUAAAAAAAACAUAUAAAACCCCCUAUAACCCAGAUGAGGCAAGUCGUAACACGG